GGCUAUUACGUUAUGUGUGUCUGAAAUAAAACUUUGGAUCUAUAUUUCAGUGAGAGGGACCUACUGGCUUCUUUGGGCAAGUCUGGUCUCUAUUUCAGCUUCCUUGGUUCAUUUAGGGUGUUUCCUUACCCAAGAAGACUACAGCUCUUCUAUUCUACUUGGCAUGGAUUCAGACUGAUUUAGAAAUGAGGUAGGGAGAGCAAAGAAUGUAAAAGGAGUUGGUUUUACGCUGCCCGAUAAAUCACAGUACAAGCAAUGUCCUUGUUAUUCAUUGGAGAUUGCCACUGGGCCACCUGACAGACAGUGUGUGCCUCUUGGUGAGUGUCCUCCUGUGCAUCCACUUCUUGCUCUUUCUAUAAGAGGCCAUGGCAUCCAUUAGGGUUGAGUGAAGCAAAUUAAAGUUAAACAAAUAAAAUCUGACUGGGAUGGUUUGCUUAAGACUUAAUCAAAACUUAUUUGAAGCCAUUCCCACAUUUAAACACCCCUCAAUGUCAGUGAAUAAGAUCUGUUCAACAAAUACAUUCUGUAGGUAUAUGUUGUCCAACUGUGAUUGUGACCCCUUUACAGUUCUAGAAUUUUCUAGCUUCCAGAUUCCUGAACUGGCCAUGUACCUUUGGAGAGUAUAUUUUAGACUCUAAUACAAAUGAGCUCCCCGGUUCUCUCUCCCCGGGACCCAGUGCCUGGAUGCCACUAUUGCUUGCAGUGGGGCUUGGUCCAUUCUGGGACAACAUCAACAGAAACCAGCCCCGAGGAAAUCCUACCCUUGUAGGGUGGUGGUGCAUCAGAGGUUCGGUUGGAUGCUGAUUAACAAAACUUAGACAUAUUUGUGUAGAACUCCCAGGGAGCCAGAAUCCCAGGGAAUCAGGGCUCUUGGCUUCAGUGAUUGUCAAAUUUAGCAGAGGGCUGGCACAGAGACACCGAUGCUUUCUGAGUUUUAAUAUGAUACCCAAAUGAAUGAGUAGGGACCUGCAGCUUGACUGUUUUCUUCAAUCAGAAUGGCUGCCUUCAGCAAGCAAAUUGCUCCAUUCAAAUCAUCAGGGAGGGGGUUGGAAACAGUCUUACAGAGUGAUGACUCCUGUGUUCUAAGUCACUGAGGACAUAAAACAAACGAGGCUUUCCUAAAUAGACUGUGGUUAUCAAAGUCAAAGGAAAUAAAGUCAGUUACUAGGCAUAGUUCCUCAUGGGGGAGGCUGAGAAGAUGAUGGCGAAAUGUUGAGAGUUUCUGCGAGCUUUCAGUUUUAGCAUGGUUGUUUGGAUUUUCAGUUCUGACAUUGCACAUAUUGGACGCGGGGACCAUCGUCCCAACGAUUCACCCCAACAGGCUUUGGCGAGUGGGUAGACUAGAACCUGAGGAAGUAUCCAUUCGAGUCCCUGACAGCUGCUGAAGUGGAGUGCUGAGUGACUGCUUGAGCAAUAGCUGCUGGUGACAUGCCUCCUAAGCCUGACCUUUUUUAUUCAUCUCUUUACUUUCCAAAACCUGUCCGAAAGUUGUUUGGUCAUGCCUCAGGCAUGCUCAUGAUGCACGCUGGCACAGGAGCCCUGAUUCCUUAGACUGUCAGGGUCCUCCUGCAGAGUCUGGAUUCCUCAUUGUUGUCAGGAUACCCCUGCACGCCAACAGACCGCAGUAGUUGCCUGCAUUUCCUGAGUUGUGUGUUGAAGAUGAGGGGGAUCUGAGCAUCUUAAUCAUGUCGCUUGCAUUGCUUGUGAGAUCUUCAGCUCAUGCAUCUCUCAGCAGCUCUGUCUGAGUGGGAGAGAUCUCAGGAGGGAGUGGAGACAUUUUGUUCCCAGUACUUCAUGCAGGCCUAGAUCCACUGUGAUCCCACCAUCUUACACUUGCCUGGCAGUUCCCCCAUCUGAAGCUACGGGAAACAACCAGGCCCAGGUUUGAACCUAGAAGUGUGAACAAGAUGGAAAAUUACUGAGUGGAGGACAUGGCUGCCGCCUUUGAUUUGGAAAAGCCUGUGCAGGUUGUAGCACAGGAUUCCAUCUGAUAAACAUGAGGUAUCGUCAAAAGUUCAGAGGACCCACUAGAACCUAAGGCCUCAGAAAAUCAAGGAGAUGCAAGAAAAAUAAAUAAAUAAAUAAAUAAAUAAACGGAGAGAGAAAAUAGGGCAGGACAAAGUGAGCUAUAAAAUUGAAAGCAGAUAAUAAAGAGAAAAAAAAGAGAGAAAAGUAAACCAACUCCCUACUUUGCUGGCUCUCCUAUCUUUCUGUGACUUCUCCUGAUGUUUGGAUGGUGACAUUUCAUCUGAGGUCACAGAGCCAAAUACCAGUGCCACCAUCCAUGAGAAGAAACAGACAAUUCACAGACUGUUCUGGAAAGGAGGACAUAUUUCUGAUUUUAGUGUCUUAUUUUGUAUUGUCAUACACAGAGCUGGGAGGGCAGGGUGUAGGGUGGUCGGCCUGGGGCAUGCAUGUGUGUGUGUGUGUGUGUGUGUGUGUGUGUAACUGCUGUCUCUGGCCUGCUCAGUGGUUCUGAGCUUCUCCUUCCCCUUUGUUUCUCCGUUGUUGCCUUUGGGUUUUUGAAAGAGCAUAAAGUUGGAUGUCACAAAAAAGACUUCCUCCCGUACCAAGUGAAGUUUGAGCACCCACAGAAAUGGGUCAGAGAAUGUAGUUAGAUGACAGUAUCACAGACCUACCUUCUAUGGAGUCUCUUCACUGUGUACAAUGAGUCUUGUUAUGUCUUGAGAAGAUACAGGGACUUGGGUUCAUGGUGUGUCAGGACAGUGCUAUACAGCAGCGGGGAGAAUGGUGACGUCCUUGGGUCACUCGAUGGCUGUUUCCAUAGGGUCCUGGUCUGUUAGAUGAAGCUUUGCUUUGGGCAUAGAGUGGCUUAGCAACCAGUUAGAGAAUGUUCAAAUUCUAGAUUCCUAAGUAUAGAACUGGAACACUGGAGGGUGCCUCAGAGCCUUUACCCAAGUCGUGAUCACAAAUGAGAAGAAGACUCGAGGGGAUUGAUGAGCUGAGGCCAGGCUGGACCACUAGAAUGCAGCAAGAGCAGCUGAGCCCAGUGCUCUGGUCUCUAUUAUGGCACAUAGGUGGAGCGUAAGGGAGAGGGAGAUGGAUGAGGUCAUACUAUUGCAAUCACUUGGGAAAAAAUACACAAACUUCCAAAACUGCAAGAUGCUUUCUACUGCCACCAGACCUCCUUUGGAGGUUUUCCUACCGCUUAAUAACCAGGGAUGCUUUCCCAGAGCAGGGUGGGCGUUUGAUGGAUUUAUUCAAUAAGAGCGAGGAAGGACAAACUGGAACCAGGAAGCCACCACUCAACUAUUUGUGGACUUUGGAGGAGGUUUGAAGAAUUCACAACUGAACAGUUUUUACAAAGGCAUUUUGAGCCUUUCACUUUCUCGUGUGAACAUUUCUGUAGUUGUCAUCGUGACAGAAAGUGUAGACUUCAGUGUAGAAGUCUGGUUGCCAGCUAUGCCCAGAGGGAUUUUGCUGACUAAAUAUACUGUUCACUUUAAUAUUCAUCUUAGACCUCUGCUGUGUUCUCCUAGGACCCUGACCACCCACCAGGGUUCUUUGAGGACUGGAUGUGUUACAUUCUUGAAGUCAUUAUGGAUCCUCCAGAUCACGAGGGCGAUAGAUAAGUAAGGUGGCUAACUUUCUGUCUUUUCUACUGAGGAACUUGUUGGCGUCUGACAGAGCAUCUCAGAUUUCUUACAUAAAAUGUGGAAUUGUCAAUAGUCAGAUGCAUCAGUGGCCAAGGCUAUGGUGUGCAGUUUCUAUCAGCGUGUACAGGACAUCCUGCCUGGUUUUGGCCUCAAGGUAAGAAGCAAUGGUGAGAUUUCGUAGCUCAUCGUCUCCUGGUUGGAGCAAAGGGUGCCAAACAGAGGAUACAGUGACAGCCCCUUACUGGAAGAACAUUUUAGGUAAUCCCCACGACAGGGUGACAUACACUGAUGUUGGAGCAUUUAAAUAAAAAGAGUCUCACUGUGUAGAUAAAGACGUUUGCUUCCAAUGAAAACUGAGAGUGGAGAGAACCACUUAAAUCACGCAAGGACUCUACUCUUGUCUCAUUGCUAUCCUCCAGACUCACCCCACCCCCCAGUUCCCAAUGGCUGAAACAAACCCAGAGUGUACUGAGGAGAACAGAGUCUAGCAGAAUUUGUAUUUAGACUUUCGAUACUGACCACCAGCGUGGACUAGGCCUUUCCUAGCCACUCCCUCUGUCUAUGCCAGCUCUAGGUGUCUAAAUCCUUGCUUUACAUUAGGGGAGCUGAGGCAAAGGGAGAUGAUAGACUUGGUUCAAGAUCCCAGAACACCAGACAACGGCCAGAUCAGUUUUGGAUCCUGGUCAGUUGAAGGCUAAUGGUGGUAUCUUUGACUGUAGAGUCAUACAAUCUUUGAAUUAUCUUUGCCACAGUAUGCAUUUAAAUGUAGGUAUGUAUUUCAAUGCUAUAAUGGCGGCAGGGAGAUGAGAGGGCUGGAGAGGACUUCAGCUCGGAUGGAAUUGAUUUUCUUACGUCCAGGCUUAGAGAAGUGCAGCCGAAGAAUUUCUAAAGAAACACAGCGUCUCUCAAUCCAUCAGACUAUUAAACAACAAUGGGCCCCUAAUAAAUGAGAAUUUCCCCAGGAAUCUCCUACCGGAAGGAAAAGUUCAACUGUGAACAAGAGAUUUCAUUCAAUUUUAACAACAUGUCAGAUCACCAGUGGAGGCUCAGACAGGGAUGGGUCAGCGGCGGGUAAGACCACACCUUGAUCCGACGACUUAAGUGUGACUGUCCUUAACCCUCUUUAAACUUGAAUCUGACUUCAGGACUCCAAAGACAGACUUGGCGCAUCACUGAAUCUCUGUUCCUUUCCCAAAUUGGCCAUAUGGAGAAAAUAUCCCACUUUUUGCUCUCUCUCCACUAUUAAUUUGGCUCUUUUACUUGGUUUAUUGAUGAUGGGUGGCUGAACCCGACUUGGGGAGCAGGCUCUAAGCUCAAGUUCAAUCACAGUAGGACCCUUAACUGGGAUCAGGACUGGAGGCUCAGACUCGGGUGAUGAAUGCAGAAAGAGAUGCCCGGGCCUCCUGGAAGUUGGAAUGUGUAGCAUUAUUACUGAAAAGCAAAUAUGAUGGGCAUACACACAGCAGCCCAACUAUAGUCCUCUGACUUCUUGUUGGAGAUGAGGAGAAUUGAGAGUCCAGAAGCUAGUGUGCAAUGAUUGUUAAACAGCUCUAGUAAAGCUAGCUCCUGGGGCCAGAGGCUCAGCUCCUGCCUCAAACUUGCCUAGAGAUCUGGGCAUGAGUUUGGCUUAGGAGAUGAACGACUUCCAGCUGUUCUCUGUCAGCCCAAGGCAGUGUCAGAGCCUGGGAUCUGUCUGGACUUUGCAACCCUGGAAGGCUUUGCUGCAGACCAGAGAGCUGCCAGGAGGCCCCAGAAAUGCCUGAGAACAAAGAGGCGGUAAACACACACGCUGAAACCUUUUACCAACUGGCUGUGGCCCAAACCAAAAUGAGAAAUGAAUUGCUGAGGGCUGCCAUUGAUGGACACAGAGAGUGUUAAAACCCAGAGCACAUAAACCAGGAUGAGAAAAUUAAUCAGAAGAUAAAAGACAGCGGCUUUGGGAUCCCUGGCCGAGCCCUCCUGCAUGCUCCUGGGACAUCCUUUCAGACCAGCAGCACCAUCCCGUGCAGGGGCUGUGACAGAUGACUUAUAAUGUAGACAUCACCUCUGCUGGUGGACAGCCUUCGGAUCUGCUGAGUCCUUUUAUAAUAAAUAAAACCAAACACGACAAAACACUAUAAACCCUUGCCUUCACGAGUGUGUCAUAGCCUGGUGUUAGGAACGGUUUGUUAAAAAAGAUCAAAGAAACCUGGAGUG
rnacentral:lncRNA from 1 species